UGAUUUCUUUCCCAUUUUCUUCUGUGCUUCUCUGUUUAUGAUGUUAGCCAAUACAUCUAAGGAAUAUACCCAUUUUCAGCUUCCCUUUGUCUUUUCUGUGAAACCUUUUUCUAACCUGAGAUUCUGUUAGACUACUUGCCACUUUUCCCAGCAGUUUUUAUUGAAUUAUGAAUUUUCCCAUAGCUGAGAUUAUUAGGUUUGUCAAAUAAAUGAAUGAGGUGCUCUUUUGCUCCUGUAUGUUGUAUACCUAAUCUGUUCCUAUGGUCAGUCUUUCUGUUUCUUACUCAAUAAUAUAUUUUUAAUGAUGCUAUAGUUUUAUGAUCUGGUACUGCUAGGCCCUUUACUUCCCAAUUUUCCCAUUAAUUUCCUUGAUAGCCCUAAUUUUUGUUUGUCCGGACGAACUUUGUUAUCCUUUUUUAAUGUUGCCAAGAAAUUCUCAGGUAUUUUGAUGUGUAUUGCAUUGUGUUAGGAAAUUAAGAUAGGCAUCAUUACCAUUCGUGGCCUGGCGAUGAGCAAUUCAUAUUUCUCUACUUAUCUAGAGCUGCUUUUAUUUGGGUAAAAAGUGACUGUGUUCCUUGAGUUGCUAUCUAUGUUUUGGCAGGUGGACUUGUAGUUAUUUCAUACUAUAUGCAAUUUCAAUGGAAUUUAUCUUCCUAUACCUUUCUGGUAGGUUUUAUUGGUAAUUUAUAUGAUACUACUAACUUGCUGGGGUUUAUUUACACUCCCCUGUCUUGCUGAUGUUGGUAAAUGUUUCACUUAAGUUUCAAUUGAUUCUGUAGAGUUCUCUAAGUAAACAUUCAUAUCAUCUGUAAAAAAUCAUAUUUUUUUUAUUGUUUGACUCUUUGCUGUUUAUACUUUCCAUUUCUUUUCUUUUGAGUUACUGCUAUAGCAAGCAUUUCUGGUACAGUACUGAAUUGUAGUGAUGACCGUGAAUAUCUGUUAUGUCUCCAAAAGAAAAACUUUUGAUUCUUGUUGAAAAUUAUUUAAUGUUAAGGUCAGCAAAUUCCCAUUAAAAAGUCAGCUAAAACCUCAAUAGUGUAUGACAAAUUGAAAGUUGUGGAUUCAUCAGUUUUACAGAGGUGUAGGGAGUUUGACAACAGUCAGCUGCUGGGCAUGUCAAGAGUGUAAUGAGGAGAUUUUAGAGUAAGGCAACUGUUCAAUUGAAUACUUCAUUGGCUUAGAACUUAUUAUAUCAUUCUGUGAAUUUUUUUGAAAAGCCUUCUUCAGUGUUUCUUUAAGGAUUUCUGCUAGGGAUCUGUCUAGCUCACUGAGAAAGAAAGAGUAACUUACUAAAAGAUGGUUAUUUUAUUUUAUUUCUUUUUAAGAUAUAUUUAGACUCAUUCUCACUUAUCUACUAUUAAAUUUUAUUAAAAGAUUCAUUCAGUAAAUGUAAUUGGAAAUUAAGACUUAAAGGAUAUUUAUGCUAGCUUAGGUCUUCAAAAGGAAAGGACACUCAAACGUGAUACUAAAGUAAAUUCAUGUUAUCAAUAUUAACUGAUUUAGAGAUUGUCCUUUUCAUAUCCUCUCUACUUUUGUUUUUAUUGAAAACUCUUCUGUCUUGUCUCUAUUACAAAUAACACUAGUUCUUUAUUGUAGACAGAUACUACUUACUGGUUUAGGAAAGUCCCAUUUAUUCCAAUGUUUCUUGUGUUUUGCAUAAUAAUAGGUUUUGUAUUUUACUGCUUUAAAAUUUUUGCAUCAAUAUUCAUUAUACAAUUUGGUCUCUACUUUUGUUUCUGUAUGGAUUCAUUUUAGGUAUCAUGGCAAUAUUUAUAUGGUAUAAUGCAUUUACUAGGACCCAGUCUUUGUCUGUUGAUUGACCCAUUUAGACCGGGUUGGAAAUAAUUGUAUUUACAUGGUUCUAAGAAGUUGCUUUUAAAUCCAUUUUGUCCUCAGCGUUCACUUAGAAAGAACACUGGGGAAGAUUUAAUAGCAUCACUAACUCCCAUAUUAGAUUAAAAAAAAUCCAAAGUAUUCUAUGGUCCCAGCACUGACCAAGUUGGGACUACAGAUAUAAAGCUAGAUAACUAAGUUGUGGAACUGCUAAAAACAAACAAACAAGCAAACAAACAAAAAACACCUUAGCAGAGUCUGGAGAUGCAUGCUGGCAAACUUUGUUAUUGUCAUAAGGCUAAUUUAAUGGGUUGUACUGAGUCACCUUCCAGACGUUCCCACUCUUUAAAGAGAUGUGGGGAAGAGGAGUCUAUGUUUAUAAAUGCGCAAACUGGUGCUAAGGGAUGUGAGCAGAACCAAGAGAACAAUGUACACAGUAACAGGACAAUUAUGUGAUGAUCAACUGGGAUGGGCUCUUUUCAACAAUGAGAUGAUUCAAGGCAAUUCCAAUAAGCUUGGGGUGGCAGGUGCCAUCUGCUUCCAGAGAGGGGAUUACAAAGACUGAAUGUAGAUCAGAGCAGAGUAUUUUUCACCUUUGUUGUUGUUGUUUGGUUGCUUGUUUUUGCUUUUCUUUUUCUCAACUUUUUUCCUUUUCAUCGACCUUCCUCUGUAUGUGCAACAUGAUGAAUAUGUUUAGGAUAAUGACACAUGUUCCACCUAUAUCAGAUUGCCGGCUGUCUUAGGGAGGAUAGAGAGAAACAUUUGAAACGCAAGGUUUUCUGAAGGUGAAAGUUGAAAACUAUCUUUGGAAAAAUAAAAUAGGAUAAAAAAUGUUUUUAUAAUGAUCGAACUGAAAACCAUCUUUUAGAUAUCAAAGAUGUU
rnacentral:lncRNA from 1 species